GAAAUGCGAUAAGUAAUGUGAAUUGCAGAAUUCAGUGAAUCAUCGAAUCUUUGAACGCACCUUGCGCUCCUUGGUAUUCCUUGGAGCAUGCCUGUUUGAGUAUCAUGAAAUCUUCAAAGUAAAUCUUUUGUUAACUCAAUUGGUUUCUACUUUGGUAUUGGAGGUCUUUGCAGCUUCACACCUGCUCCUCUUUGUUCAUUAGCUGGAUCUCAGUGUUAUGCUUGGUUCCACUCGGCGUGAUAAGUUAUCUAUCGCUGAGGACACUGUAAAAGGUGGCCAAGGUAAAUGCAGAUGAAACGCUUCUAAUAGUCCAUUGACUUGGACAAUACGUUUAUGAUCUGAUCUCAAAUCAGGUAGGACUACCCGCUGAACUUAAGC
rnacentral:misc_RNA from 1 species